rnacentral:rRNA from 1 species
UACGGAGGGUGCAAGCGUUAUCCGGAUUCACUGGGUUUAAAGGGUGUGUAGGCGGGUAUUUAAGUCAGUGGUGAAAUCUCCGGGCUCAACCCGGAAACUGCCAUUGAUACUAUUUAUCUUGAAUCUUGUUGAGGUAGGCGGAAUACAUCAUGUAGCGGUGAAAUGCUUAGAUAUGAUGUAGAACACCGAUUGCGAAGGCAGCUUACUAAACAAGCAUUGACGCUGAGGAGCGAAAGUGUGGGGAGCGAACAGG